rnacentral:tRNA from 1 species
GCCCAGGUGGCGAAAUCGGUAGACGCAAGGGACUUAAAAUCCCUCGGUUUAUACCGUGCCGGUUCGAGUCCGGCCCUGGGCA